GAUGAAGAACGUAGCAAACUGCGAUACUUGGUGUGAAUUGCAGAAUCCCGUGAACCAUCGAGUCUUUGAACGCAAGUUGCGCCCGAAGCCAUUAGGCCGAGGGCACGUCUGCCUGGGCGUCACGC
rnacentral:rRNA from 1 species